rnacentral:rRNA from 1 species
UACGUAGGUGGCAAGCGUUGUCCGGAUUUACUGGGCGUAAAGAGCGCGCAGGCGGUCGUCCAAGUCGCGUGUGAAAGCCCCCGGCUCAACUGGGGAGGGUCACGCGAUACUGGUCGACUCGAAGGCAGGAGAGGGUAGUGGAAUUCCCGGUGUAGUGGUGAAAUGCGUAGAUAUCAGGAGGAACACCAAUUGCGAAGGCAGCUCGCUGGGACGUUACUGACGCUGAGACGCGAAAGCGUGGGGAGCAAACAGG